AAAUCUGAACUGAGACCAGGUUUUGUGAUUCGCUCCACCUCUUCCCCAUUGCUGCACUUUGUUACUGGCCAUUGUAGUACGUGUGUAGCCCUGGGCAUAAGGGGCAUGAUGAUUUGACGUCGUCCCCACCUUCCUCCGAUUUGUCACCGGCAGUCUCGCCAGAGUGCCCAACUCAAUGAUGGCAACUGACAAUAGGGGUUGCGCUCGUUGCGGGACUUAACCCAACAUCUCACGACACGAGCUGACGACAACCAUGCACCACCUGUCACCAACGUUCCGAAGAAAAGUCCUAUCUCUAGGACGGUCGUCGGGAUGUCAAGCCCAGGUAAGGUUCUUCGCGUUGCUUCGAAUUAAACCACAUACUCCACUGCUUGUGCGGGCCCCCGUCAAUUCCUUUGAGUUUCAACCUUGCGGUCGUACUCCCCAGGUGGGAUACUUAUUGUGUUAACUGCGGCACAGAAGGGGUCGAUACCUCCUACACCUAGUAUCCAUCGUUUACGGUGUGGACUACCAGGGGUAUCUAAUCCUGGUUUGCUCCCCACACUUUCGCGCCUCAGCGUCAGUUGUCGUCCAGAAAGCCGCCUUCGCCACUGGUGGUUCCUCCUAAUAUCUACCCA
rnacentral:rRNA from 1 species